GACCAGGUACGCAAACCGGAAAAGCGAGCAGGCCGAGAACCUGUGAUUUUGUGGGUUCGAAUCCCACCCUGGCCA
rnacentral:tRNA from 1 species